GACGACUUGUCUGGAGCGCAGUAGAUGAACCGCCUCAGACAUGUGACAGCAUGGGAGCCAACCAGGGUGUUGCGACCAAACGCCCGGCAGUCCACCACCCUGAUGUUGAGCGGAGGGUGGAGAAGCUCAUUCUCUGGGAGGUCCUAAUGCGAAAAAAGGUUCAUCACAAUCCCGCCCCCAACCCCUUCAUCUUGUGACCCUCGACCUCUGACCUGUCUGUGAUGACAGGCCGCAUGAGGGGGGUAGAUGAGAUCGACACCAAGUCCCUUUCCUCGUCCGCCUCCUCGUCGCUGGAGUUCUGAAUGAGCUCGCUCUCUUCUUCAUCACUUUCACCGUCUUUCUUCUUCUUUUUUGAUGAUGACGGUUUGCUUGUUCCGUCUAUCUGGUUGCCAUAGUUACCUUUUUGGGAGACAGCUCACUGGUAAAUGGUGGUAUUGUUAGCAUUUUUGAUUAGGCCAGCAAAGACUUUACCAAUUGUGAUCUCAAAAGUAAUCGACUUGUCCCCAAUUUUUCGAUCAAUCAUGGUAGCCUCCAGGAAGGCACCGAAGAGGAAGAACUCCUCCAUUUUGCCCGUGGCGCUCUGACCAGAUGAAAAAACGAAAAAGAAGCAAGAAGGACAGACAGGCAAUAAAGAAAACAUAAAAAUUU